GCCGGGCGCGGUGGCGGGCGCCUGUAAUCCCAGCUACUUGGGAGGCUGAGGCAGGAGAAUAGCUUGAACCCGGGAGGCAGAGGUUGCAGUGAGCCUAGAUCGCGCCACUGCACUCCAGCCUGGGUGACAGAGCAAGACUCUUCCUUAA
ensembl:misc_RNA Metazoa_SRP Metazoan signal recognition particle RNA